rnacentral:rRNA from 1 species
ACGGGGCGCAGCAGUGGGGAAUAUUGGGCAAUGGGGGGAACCCUGACCCAGCGACGCCGCGUGAGGGAAGACAGCCUUCGGGUUGUAAACCUCUGUUGCAGGGGAAGAAGGACGUGACGGUACCCUGCGAGGAAGCUCCGGCUAACUACGUGCCAGCAGCCGCGGUAAUACGUAGGGAGCGAGCGUUAUCCGGAAUUACUGGGCGUAAAGGGCGCGUAGGCUGUGGUUCAAGUCGUCUGUUAAAUAUUGAGGCUUAACCUCAAGGAGCAGACGAAACUGGAUGACUGGAGACACAGAGUGGCAAACAGAAUUCCUGGUGUAGCGGUGAAAUGCGUAGAUAUCAGGAAGAAUACCGGUGGCGAAGGCGGUUUGUUGGCUGUGAUCUGACGCUGAAGCGCGAAAGCCAGGGGAGCGAACGGGAUUAGAUACCCCGGUAGUCCUGGCAGUAAACGAUGUAUGCUGGGUGUGAGACUAGCGAUAGUUUCGUGCCGAAGUCAACGCGAUAAGCAUACCGCCUGGGGAGUACGGUCGCAAGAUUGAAACUCAAAGGAAUUGGCGGGGGAGCACA